UACAGAGGAUGCAAGCGUUAUCCGGAAUGAUUGGGCGUAAAGCGUCUGUAGGUGGCUUUUUAAGUCCGCCGUCAAAUCCCAGGGCUCAACUCUGGACAGGCGGUGGAAACUACCAAGCUGGAGUACGGUAGGGGCAGAGGGAAUUUCCGGUGGAGCGGUGAAAUGCGUAGAGAUCCGGAAGAACACCGGUGGCGAAGGCGGGUCUCUGGGCCGUAACUGACGCUGAGGAGCGAAAGCGUGGGGAGCGAACAGG
rnacentral:rRNA from 1 species